UUGACCUCAAAUCAGGUAGGACUACCCGCUGAACUUAAGCAUAUCAAUAAGCGGAGGAAAAGAAACUAACAAGGAUUCCCCUAGUAACUGCGAGUGAAGCGGGAAAAGCUCAAAUUUAAAAUCUGGCGGUCUUUGGCCGUCCGAGUUGUAAUCUAGAGAAGUGUUAUCCGCGCUGGACCGUGUACAAGUCUCCUGGAAUGGAGCGUCAUAGAGGGUGAGAAUCCCGUCUUUGACACGGACUGCCAGGGCUUUGUGAUGCGCUCUCAAAGAGUCGAGUUGUUUGGGAAUGCAGCUCAAAAUGGGUGGUAAAUUCCAUCUAAAGCUAAAUAUUGGCGAGAGACCGAUAGCGAACAAGUACCGUGAGGGAAAGAUGAAAAGAACUU
rnacentral:rRNA from 1 species